AGAUUUUCUCCGGUCCAGCAAAAAGUACCUCGAGGUACCGGUACAUUACGGUACUGAAUCGUUUCCGAUCGUUGGAUCUAGCUGGACAGUAUGGACAUUGUUAGAUCCAACAAUCGAAAACGAUUUGGUACCGUGAGGUACCGGUACCUCGAGGUACUUUUUAUUGGACUAUAGCAAAUCU
rnacentral:pre_miRNA from 1 species